AUGCAAGCUGAGAGGGGCUACAGCCUCGGGGGAGGAGAAGCUUUAGAGAGAGAGACAGAGAGAUUCCUAGAGCAGACUGAAGAUUCAAGAGACAAUUCAUGGGGCCUCCUUGUAUUUAUUUCCGCCUGUUUAGGGAAGUAUUCUCAAGCGCGGAGCGAUCACGUUACAAGGUAUAGACAAUUCAGAUUGGAUGGUAAGUCUUCAAGAAUUCAAGACCAUCUUCACAUGAAUAAGUUUAUCUAUGAAAGACUUCACAUGAACAUAGUUACUAAUUUUAAGUCACCCAUGUCAACAUUAUCCUGUUCAUUUUGGUAUUUGGUAUUUCCCUUAAUGCCUGGCAGAAUCUUGCAACUCAUAGGAAACCACUGAACAGAAAACGGACAAAAGACAACAGCAAGGAAACGUAUACAAAAAAAUUCAGAUGCAAAAGGUGAUCCUUGUGGAACAAACUCUUUGCCUAUUUAAAGGAUGAAGUUGGUGAUCAAUGACACAUGUAAACCCAGUGGAAUUGCACAUCAGUUGUGAGAGGGGGUUGGAGGGAGGGAAGGGAAAGAGCAUGAAUCUUGUAACCAAAAUUACUCUAAAUUGUCUAAUUAAAUAAAAUUUAAAAAAAAUAAAGGAUGAAGUUGGCC
rnacentral:lncRNA from 1 species